AGUGAACGCUGGCGGUAGGCCUAACACAUGCAAGUCGAACGGCAGCACAGUAAGAGCUUGCUCUUACGGGUGGCGAGUGGCGGACGGGUGAGGAAUACAUCGGAAUCUACUUUUUCGUGGGGGAUAACGUAGGGAAACUUACGCUAAUACCGCAUACGACCUACGGGUGAAAGCAGGGGAUCUUCGGACCUUGCGCGAUUGAAUGAGCCGAUGUCGGAUUAGCUAGUUGGCGGGGUAAAGGCCCACCAAGGCGACGAUCCGUAGCUGGUCUGAGAGGAUGAUCGGCCACACUGGAACUGAGACACGGUCCAGACUCCUACGGGAGGCAGCAGUGGGGAAUAUUGGACAAUGGGCGCAAGCCUGAUCCAGCCAUACCGCGUGGGUGAAGAAGGCCUUCGGGUUGUAAAGCCCUUUUGUUGGGAAAGAAAAGCAGCAGGUUAAUACCCCGCUGUUCUGACGGUACCCAAAGAAUAAGCACCGGCGAACUUCG
rnacentral:rRNA from 1 species